GCCGGGCAUUGUGGUGGUGCCUGUCGUCCCAGCUACUUGGGAGGCUGAGGCAAAAGAAUCACUUAAGCCCAGGAGGUGGAGGUUGCUGUGAGCUGUGAUGUCACAGCACUCUAUGAGGGUGAUUACAGUGAGACUUGAUCUCAAAAAAAAAACUUUGUUGUCUUUUUAUAGUAUUAAUUAUUAAAUCUUUUGUUGGAGACAGAUGGUAUAAUGAGCCUCUUUUUUUUUUUUUAAGACAGUCUUACUUUGUCACCCUCGGUAGAGUACCAUGGUGUCACAGCUCACAGCAACCUCCAACUCCUGGGCUUAAGUGCCCAUGAGCCUCUU
rnacentral:SRP_RNA from 1 species